rnacentral:tRNA from 1 species
GCUUUCCUGUGGCUCAGUUGGUAGAGCAUUGCGCUAACAACGCAAAGGUUGUGGGUUCAAAUCCUAGGGAAAGCA